CUACGGGUGGCUCCAGUGAGGAAUAUUGCACAAUGGGGGGAACCCUGAUGCAGCGACGCCGCGUGGAGGAUGACGCAUUUCGGUGUGUAAACUCCUUUUAUAUGUCAAGAAAAUGACGGUAGCAUAUGAAUAAGCACCGGCUAACUCCGUGCCAGCAGCCGCGGUAAUACGGAGGGUGCAAGCGUUACUCGGAAUCACUGGGCGUAAAGGACGCGUAGGCGGGUUGGAAAGUCAGGUGUGAAAUCCUACAGCUUAACUGUAGAACUGCACUUGAAACUUCUAAUCUAGAGUAUGGGAGGGGGAGAUGGAAUUAGUGGUGUGGGGGUAAAAUCCGUAGAUAUCACUAGGAAUACCUAAAGCGAAGGCGAUCUCCUGGAACAUUACUGACGCUAAGGCGUGAAAGCGUGGGGAGCAAACAGGAUUAGAUACCCGCGUAGUC
rnacentral:rRNA from 1 species